GACGAACGCUGGCGGCGUGCUUAACACAUGCAAGUCGAACGAAGUGGCGAACGGGUGAGUAACGCGUAAUCAACCUGCCCUUCAGAGGGGAACAAAAGUUGGAAAGAACGGUGAAACCGCAAUACGGAGGGGGGGAAUUGGGUCUGAUGAGCUGGUGGGAGGGGUAACGGCCCACCAAGGCGAUGAUCAGUAGCCGGUCUGCGAGGAUGAACGGCCACAGUGGGACUGAGACACGGCCCAGACUCCUACGGGAGGCAGCAGUGGGGAAUCUUCCGCAAUGGACGAAAGUCUGACGGAGCAACGCCGCGUGAGUGAUGACGGCCUUCGGGUUGUAAAGCUCUGUUAAUCGGGACGCGGUACCGGAAUAGAAAGCCACGGCUAACUACGUGCCAGCAGCCGCGGUAAUAC
rnacentral:rRNA from 1 species